rnacentral:tRNA from 2 species
GUUAGCUCAGUAGGUAGAGCAUUUGACUUUUAAUCAAAGGGUCGGGGGUUCGAGUCUCCC